UCUUCCUGUAAUUUCUCUUGUUUUCAUACUUGAUUCUAUUGUGUAGGUUGAGACUCCAACAAAAGCACCCGAUUCUGGUUGAUCCGAGGUAUGAAGAAUCCAAACUUGAACUUUCCAUGAAGUCUUCUAAGGCUUAACAUCUCGGAUGAAUGCCAAGGCUGCAGCCAUUGGCAAUACUUUUUGUGUGUUUAGUGACUUUUAAAGGAGGAAUGGCCAAAACGACAUUCACGUGAAGCCCAACAACAUACAAACCAGGUUAUAAGUGAAAGGACGCGGAUCCUUUCUCCAAACGGGUCGGGUAAUGUGGAUUCUUUAUUUUUUACAAAAUUACCUCUUCCAAUUUCAAUAAACACUCUCCUUUACAACUAAUUGAAUGGCAAUCUGGGAAAUUUUGAGCAAUUUUCGAAUUUGUA